rnacentral:misc_RNA from 1 species
AUAUUACUGCGUUAGGGAUAGCAAUGGAAAUCCCGGAUUUUUACAUUUCAGUAAAAAACGGAAUUGGAAUGAAUAGCCCGCUCGAAC